CCCUUAGAUGUUCUGGGCUGCACGCGCGCUACACUGAAGCGUUCAACGAGUAUUCACCUUGCCCGGGAGGGUUGGGUAAUCUUUUGAAAACGCUUCGUGAUGGGGAUAGAUCAUUGCAAUUUUUGAUCUUGAACGAGGAAUUCCUAGUAAGCGCGAGUCAUCAGCUCGCGUUGAUUACGUCCCUGCCCUUUGUACACACCGCCCGUCGCUACUACCGAUUGAAUGGUUUAGUGAGGACUCCUGAUUGGCGCCGCCGCCCCGGCAACGGAGCAGCGGACUGCCGAAAAGUUGUUCAAACUUGAUCAUUUAGAGGAAGUAAAAGUCGUAACA
rnacentral:rRNA from 1 species